AUGAGACGAUUGCCUGUUCCUAUAGAUAAUAAUAAAUUGUGGAAGCUCAAACUACUUCUUCGAGUAAAAAUAUUCCUCUGGAUUUUAAACAGAGGUGUGAUCUUGACUAGAGAUAACCUGACAAGCCGCAACUGUCAAGGUAGCAAGACUUGUGUCUUUUGCCAACAUGAUGAGUCCAUUAAAUACCUAUUUUUUAGUGUAAAUUUGCUAGUGCAGGGUGGUCCAUUGUUCAAGUAG
rnacentral:rRNA from 1 species